ACGAUGAUGAUGGUGGUGGCUCCGAUGGUGAUGAUGGUUGUUGACGAUCACGAAUAAAUCUGCAAGCGCACGGAUAUACCGAUGUAGCAUUUUACUCAAGAGUAUUCCCAAGGGUAUUGUAUUUCCAAAAGGAAGGUGGGUAGGUCAAAAGAGUUUACUAUGCAUAUGAGUAUAGCAUAGAUGGAUAGAGACAAUACUCAAAGCAAAGGUAAGAUAAUGAUAGAGGAGUAGUGUGACACACAUAGGAAUCAUCUCAAGAUAACUAAGCUAAGGGGGGGGACUAAGAGUUAGCUCUAGGUUCAUAUGUACUUACUAUAUACUUCACAAAUCAUACAAACAUAACAUACAUACUGUUGACGCCAGAUUUUGACACGUAUGGGAUCGGCGUCAAGAGAAGAAAGGAUUGGCUGAUAUGGUGGAUUAAAGAGGUCACGAUAGGGAAUCGGCCGAUUGGUGCUACAGCUUGGAAUCGGCCGAUUGGUGCUACAGUGUUUUGGCGAACGGAGUUGGUGGAGAUCGGCCGAUUCGAAGGCUGGAGCGAUUGGGCUAAUAUGGGCUUAAAGUGGGUCAGAGAAAGGAGAGAGAGAAAGAUUGGCCCAUGGGAGUACAAUAACUAACUCCGAUACGAGUUGUGUUUGUAAAUAUUCAUUUUCGUUUAAAAUUAGAGAUAGAUCCUAGUCGGUUAGGAAAUUAGUUGUAACAGGCUAUAAAUAGCCAUCUUUAGAGAUUUGUAAACAACACAUCAAUCAAUACAACAAUCUACUUUUUCCUCGUACUUUACUUUCAAGUCGGCGACUUCGCCAAUAUUUC
rnacentral:lncRNA from 1 species